rnacentral:rRNA from 1 species
UUGAACGCUGGCGGCAGGCCUAACACAUGCAAGUCGAGCGGGGGUAGCAAUACCUUAGCGGCGAACGGGUGAGGAAUGCUUGGGAAUCUGCCUGAUAGUGGGGGAUAACGUUCCGAGAGGAACGCUAAUACCGCGUACGUCCUACGGGAGAAAGGGGGGGAUCUUCGGACCUCUCGCUAUUAGAUGAGCCCAAGCGGGAUUAGCUAGUUGGUGAGGUAAAGGCUCACCAAGGCUACGAUCCCUAGCUGGUCUGAGAGGAUGAUCAGCGACACUGGAACUGAGACACGGUCCAGACUCCUACGGGAGGCAGCAGUGGGGAAUAUUGGACAAUGGGGGAAACCCUGAUCCAGCCAUGCCGCGUGUGUGAAGAAGGCCUUCGGGUUGUAAAGCACUUUAAGCGGGGAGGAAGGGCUUGUGGUUAAUAACUGCAAGCAUUGACGUUACCCGCAGAAUAAGCACCGGCUAACUCUGU